rnacentral:rRNA from 1 species
AAUAAACUUAAUAAAAUGUUGAUUUAAUAAGUUGUUUUAUAUUUUAAUUCAUUAAGGAUAAGCUUAAUGAAAGCAGGAAGGAUGUAUAAACCAAAUGAGUUAUGUAGGCUUGAAAUUAGCCAUCAUAGCAGAACUUGUUACAAAAUAACUCGUAGAAUUGGAAAGAUCUUAGUACUUAUUUUCCAGGUAUUAUGGGGGUAAUAGAGAAAAUUGAUGAAUCUAAUUCGUGUAUGCUAAGAUGAGUAUUUUAAAAUUUUUAAUGAGAUAAAAAACUAGAAAAUAUCUACGAUAGUAAUUUUUGAGAAAAUCAAAUAAGAAAAAGGAACUCGGCAAAUAUUAGCUUCGCCUGUUUAUCAAAAACAUGGCUCUUUGUUAGUUAAAUAUAGAGAGUUGAACCUGCCCAGUGAAAAUUUUUAACGGCCGCGGUACCCUGACCGUGCAAAGGUAGCAUAAUCAUUUGCCUUAUAAUUGAAGGCUUGUAUGAAUGGUUUGACGAGAGCAUUGCUGUCUCUUUUUUAAUAAGUAGAAUUUGACCUUUAGGUGAAGAGGCUUAAAUACAAUUGAAAGACAAGAAGACCCUAUCGAGCUUAAAAACUAAAUUAGAAAUAGUUAUAAAUUUAGAUUUACUGCUAAUUGAUUUUUUUUAAUUGGGGCGAUUAAGGAAUAACAAAAGCUUCCUUCUUUAUUUUAACUUAUAAGUAUUGAUCCAGCUAAAGCUGAUUGAGAGAAUUAGUUACCGUAGGGAUAACAGCAUAAUCUCUCUUGAGAGACCUAAUCGAAAGAGGGGGUUGUGACCUCGAUGUUGGACUAGAAUAUCCUAAAGGCGCAGAAGUCUUU